rnacentral:rRNA from 1 species
GAUGAACGCUGGCGGCGUGCCUAAUACAUGCAAGUCGAGCGAAUGGAUUAAGAGCUUGCUCUUAUGAAGUUAGCGGCGGACGGGUGAGUAACACGUGGGUAACCUGCCCAUAAGACUGGGAUAACUCCGGGAAACCGGGGCUAGUACCGGACAACAUUUUGAACCGCAUGGUUCGAAAUUGAAAGGCGGCUUCGGCUGUCACUUAUGGAUGGACCCGCGGCUCAUUAGCUAGUUGGUGAGGUAACGGCUCACCAAGGCAACGAUGCGUAGCCGACCUGAGAGGGUGAUCGGCCACACUGGGACUGAGACACGGCCCAGACUCCUACGGGAGGCAGCAGUAGGGAAUCUUCCGCAAUGGACGAAAGUCUGACGGAGCAACGCCGCGUGAGUGAUGAAGGCUUUCGGGUCGUAAAACUCUGUUGUUAGGGAAGAACAAGUGCUAGUUGAAUAAGCUGGCACCUUGACGGUAUCUAACCAGAAAGCCACGGCUAACUACGUGCCAGCCGCCGCGGUAA